GAUGAACGCUAGCUACAGGCUUAACACAUGCAAGUCGAGGGGAAACGACAUCGAAAGCUUGCUUUUGAUGGGCGUCGACCGGCGCACGGGUGAGUAACGCGUAUCCAACCUGCCCACCACUUGGGGAUAACCUUGCGAAAGUAAGACUAAUACCCAAUGACGUCUCUAGAAGACAUCUGAAAGAGAUUAAAGAUUUAUCGGUGAUGGAUGGGGAUGCGUCUGAUUAGCUUGUUGGCGGGGUAACGGCCCACCAAGGCGACGAUCAGUAGGGGUUCUGAGAGGAAGGUCCCCCACAUUGGAACUGAGACACGGUCCAAACUCCUACGGGAGGAAGCAGUGAGGAAUAUUGGUCAAUGGACGAGAGUCUGAACCAGCCAAGUAGCGUGCAGGAUGACGGCCCUAUGGGUUGUAAACUGCUUUUAUAAGGGAAUAAAGUGAGUCUCGUGAGACUUUUUGCAUGUACCUUAUGAAUAAGGACCGGCUAAUUCCGUG
rnacentral:rRNA from 1 species